rnacentral:rRNA from 1 species
GACGAACGUUGGCGGCGUGCUUAAUACAUGCAAGUCCACUGAAGCAGUGGUAGCAAUAUCGCUGUGGAGGUGGCGCACGGGUGAGUAACACGUAGGUAAUCUGCCUUCAGGUCUGGCAUAACUCCGGGAAACCGGGGCUAAUAGCAGAUGAUGCAGCGGCUCGACAUCGAGACAGUUGUCAAAGCUAUGGCGCCUGAAGAUGAGCCUGCGUCUGAUUAGCUAGUUGGCGGGGUAACGGCCCACCAAGGCAACGAUCAGUAGCUGGUCUGAGAGGAUGAUCAGCCACACUGGAACUGAGACACGGUCCAGACUCCUACGGGAGGCAGCAGUAAGGAAUAUUGCUCAAUGGGAGAAAUCCUGAAGCAGCAACGCCGCGUGAGGGACGAAGGGCUUUUGCUUGUAAACCUCUGUAGUGAGAGAAAAAAAUCCCAAUCUUUGGGACAUGAUGGUAUCUCAAAAGUAAGCCCCGGCUAACUACGUG